UUUGUGGUUAUCGUUUUGGUUUUGUUUUUAACUAAAAUCAGCUUCUUUGAGGUUGUGGUAUAUCCACAGAUUGGUUGACCAAUAGUAUUUGUUUAUUGUAGGUUCUUUUUUUUUUGAGCAAAUUUUAUUGUAGGUUCAAAUCCUUGAUUCGUCUAUAGGAAAUUCUUGGAAACAAAUUCUCUGCCGGCGCUUACAAAGUAUGCAUUCACUUAGCUUUAGAUUGUUUUUAAUAAAGAUUCGUUGAAUCUUUGUGCUAUUGUUAUGUUUGAUCUUUUUGUUUGUUUUGAUUCUGUGAAAGAUUGUUCAACAUGGAAGACGAAUAAGUACAUUAAUCUUACAGUUUCUUGGUGGUUCUUCCUCUGAAAUGAAAAUUUGGGAGUGUCGAUUACUUUAUUGUGUUCCAUUAUGUUAAUAUCGCAGUGCUGGUCUUUGUCGUUGUUACUGGUUUCUCAUACAUAGCAACACUUGAUUGCUAUUUAGGUCCUAGGACAGAAUCAGUGGACUGAAUGUUCUUCUGAGGAGCUGCUCUCCGUUCAAGAAAAUGGGUAAUCCAUUAUGUCUUUCCUUUCACCAGGGUCAGAUGGCAAAUCAUCGAUAUUGGUAUCAGGUACUGGAGGAGAUUUUCUUUUGUCUUUCCUUUCAUCAUAUUCAGGCAGUAGCAGAUCAUUGACAUUAGUUUCAGGUACCGAAGUACAUACUUUUUUGUAGUAUUUUUCCAUUGAUUUUUUUUCUGAAAAAAAAGCUGUGUUAAACAAUACAAUCGAAAGGUAUGAAUUUUAAAAUUCACUUUUGCAAAUCAAAAAGAUGACAAUGUUGACCGAGAACUUUAUAUUACUUUAUCAUCAUCACAUCAGAGUCAGCGAAACCAAAUCGAUAUUAGAAUUUUUCAAGAACACAGUUUAUCAAAAAAAAUCAGCAGAGAAUUGUAGAAAAGUUUUUGUAUAUCUGUAAGAGGUUUCUUUUCAUUAUACCAUUAGAAUAAAGUAUUAACCAUGAAAAUAAAAGAACAAAUUAAGAUAGACAAAAAGUUACCACUUGUUGAAAUCAAGACGAUGAACACACGAGAAAGAAGUUUCAUUAGGGUUUUUAGUUUGUAACUUUAGCAUAAUUAUGUCAAUUUGGUAAAACAAUAAUUAUAUUUCUAAAAUGGGCUUGGAUAACAUACUUGAAUGGGCUGUGAUAUGUGGGGGCAAAAAAAAAUUCAUCAUUGUAACAUUUUUUAACUAAAACAAAUAUAGAAAAAAUCAAUAAUUUUUUUUUGUGGGGCAGCUGCCUCCUCCUUAACGUAUGUAGGUUCAUCCAUGACCGUACUAUGAUAGAUGUUUGUGGCAUAUGUGGUUAUUAUAUCAUGAAAAAAUAAUAUUUCUAUAAUAAACAAAAGAACAAAUUUUCAUUAAUAUAAAUUAUAAAAUUUUAUAAUUAAAUAAAAAUUAAUAAUGGUGGAUUAGUAACAAAGUAAAAAAAAUUAAAAUCAUAAACAAUAUAUAUUAAUAGUAUUGAAUAAACAAAUGAAUAAUAUAAAACAAGAUAUAUAACACCAAAAUAUACAAAAUAUAUUAAAUAAUAAUUAUAAACAAAAUUUAAAUAAAUAUUAAAAACGAAAAAAUAACCACAUAAAUGAACCAAAAGCCACAAACCAUAACCAGAUCAGCAUCAAACCAAAAACCAAAAAAUAUAAGAAACGAAAAAAGUUUAUAAAAUCUCAUCAAAUCAUAAAACUUCAAUUUAAAACAUAAACUAUAAAUAUACAUAUAAAUAAUUCCGCGCCACCGCGCGGGUCAGAAUCUAGUUCCUUCUUAAUAUUGAGUCCAAAACAAAUAGCAAAAUGAGCGAAAUAUGAAGUUCCUUAUUUGCAAAUACUAAAACAUUCACACAACCUAUGAAAAAGAAAGACAACAUACAUUUCUUAUUGGACAAUGUCAUGAUUCUUCCUAAGAACAUCAAAAGUAUACAUAAAGAGUUCUAUCAUUCAUUCCCCAAUAGAAUCCGCUUGAUUCUGAGUAAUAACCAAUAUUGUUGCGAGUAAAAGAUGAAACCAAAAUUAAUAUGCAUAUUAUUAGAUGACAAAUAUUUCUUUUCGGUUGCUUGAAGAAAUAUACAUUCAAGUGAGGUUACCUUGAAAGCGAUGAAGCUUCAAAUUUCUUGAAUCCUCAAAUGAUUUCUUAGACUGUCGUACAUAUGUGAAUAUGCAUUUUCUUCUUCAAAUUUAGUUUUUGUGUCUUCCAUUCACUAGAUUUAUGACUUUUGUUGCAAAGAACCAAACCAAUAACAUGAAAGUUAAGAAAAUUGAUAUCACUCAAAUUACCACAAGGAGUGAUGUGUACUCUCUCAAAUAAGAGGUUCAGUCGUAGUACUUAAGGAUCAAAUCCACAAAGAGUCAAGGCACACAAUAGAUCUUAAUCAGUUUAUGAUUAAGCUAGGCAAACAGAGUAAUUAAUAAAAAGCAAAGGUGACAAGGUAGUUGUUCACUUGAUUGAUUGAUGUUGUAAACAAUUAUGAGAAAUAGCUAGAUCUAGGGUUUUAAGUAAUCAUGGUUAUAGUGAUAUUAUGCUAAGGUUUUCAAUCCUUGAACUUGAAUUCUAAUUGCAAAGUAUUCCAGCUUCCGCAUGCGAAUAAAUCCUAUUGACUAAGUCCAAUAUCUCAGCUGUCGCUUGGUUAUAUGGUUCAAACGUCAAUCGAUGCUAUGAGAUUAGCGUCGAUCGAUGUUAACCUACUCAAGAGCACAAGCAUUACAAACAAUUCCUUGAAGGAAAUCUUUAUCACCUUAGCAUAUCUAUAUUUUGAGCUAAUCCCACAUAACCUUACUUUAAACCCUAAAUCUAACAAAUGUAACUACUCAGACAUAGCUAAGCAGAACAUAGCAAAUAUCUGAAUAGAAUGCAUAUAUAGAAUAAUGUAGAAAAACUAGAGUUCCAAUACAAAGCUCUGAAUGAGUCUUAGAUCUUCUCUUCAAACUACUAAAAAUCCUAAGUAUGUUUUGCCAUGAAAAUAAUAAAGUAUUAAAGUGUGUGUUGUCCAAAACAAUGGCAUGGCACAUUAAUAUUAGGUUAAAGUCGGUCACGGGUAUUUUUGUAAUUGAUGUGGAACUUGGGCCAUAAGUCAGUUGGGAACCAAAUCGGAUCUUGCGCGCUUUGCUGUUGAUCGACAACAAGAGUUGUCCAUCAAUCGAUGUUUGACUCUGAAUGUUGACUCUCGACUGGUUCGAUGGACAGCUACGACUUUUGUCGCUUUAUUCCCAAAAUGCCCUAAAAUCGCCACAUAUCUCCAAAACACUUAUAAACCUGUAAAUACUCUUAAAAGACUCCAAAACAUAAUAAAUAAUUCCUAAAACACUUAUAUACCGUGGUUAAAAACUGGUAAAAUCCAUGGUGUAUCAAAAAUCAAACAAUUUAACUUGAACUAACAAUAUACAAGGGAGGAAAUGUUUUGAGUCUAAACCUUCAAUGGUUUCCAAUGACAGACGCUUCAAUCCACUUUGAGUACGUUUUUUUGUUGCUCCUAACUUAUUUUGUCUUCGGUGAUGCUUUCAAUGAUUGAAACAAGAUUGAUCUUUUCUUGCUUCAGAGCUUCUUCAGAUUAAACACAGAAGUCACCGCGCGAAUACGACAUGCAAAACAGUUCAAAAAUGAAAAAAGUUGUGUGCUCUCAAGAAGUUUCUCAAUCUCAAAAAUGGUUUAGAUGAUACUACUAUCUACGCAUCAAGAACAACGAAGAUAUUGUAGCUGUACCCAAAGAGAUUGAAGUAGAUGGUGCAUCGACAAGAACAUUGAUCUAAGUGAAGUUUUUCAGGAUAAUCGAGUUUUCUCGAAGGAGACAAAAAGACAAUGCAAUGUCAGUUGGUCUUGGGCCUAGAUUUUGGAAUCCCUUAUAUAUUAAUUGAAAAACAUUACAACAUUGUUUUGUAGCCACGUGUCACCGUGAGAAUGAAAUUCAGAUUUCUUAGAGAAAUAUGUUGGUCCAUCUUAACUUAUACUAUACAUUUUAUUAAACUAACUAUUAAAUUGAUAAAUAGUGUACAAACAAA